UACGGGGGGGUGCGAGCGUUGUCCGGAAUCACUGGGCGUAAAGGGUGCGUAGGCGGCCUGGUAAGUCUGGCGUGAAAGCCCAGGGCUCAGCCCUGGAAGUGCGCUAGAAACUGCGAGGCUCGAGUGCCGGAGGGGAGAGUGGAAUUCCUGGUGUAGCGGUGAAAUGCGCAGAUAUCAGGAAGAACACCCGUGGCGAAAGCGGCUCUCUGGAACGGUACUGACGCUGAGACGCGAAAGCGUGGGGAGCGAACAGG
rnacentral:rRNA from 1 species